rnacentral:rRNA from 1 species
UACGGGGGGAGCAAGCGUUGUUCGGAUUUACUGGGCGUAAAGGGCGCGUAGGCGGCCAGCACAAGUCAGUUGUGAAAUCUCCGAGCUUAACUCGGAAAGGUCAACUGAUACUGUGCGGCUAGAGUGCGGAAGGGGCAACUGGAAUUCUUGGUGUAGCGGUGAAAUGCGUAGAUAUCAAGAGGAACACCUGCGGCGAAGGCGGGUUGCUGGGCCGACACUGACGCUGAGGCGCGAAAGCUAGGGGAGCAAACGGG